CAUGCAAGUCGAACGAGUUCUCGUUGAUGAUCGGUGCUUGCACCGAGAUUCAACAUGGAACGAGUGGCGGACGGGUGAGUAACACGUGGGUAACCUGCCCUUAAGUGGGGGAUAACAUUUGGAAACAGAUGCUAAUACCGCAUAGAUCCAAGAACCGCAUGGUUCUUGGCUGAAAGAUGGCGUAAGCUAUCGCUUUUGGAUGGACCCGCGGCGUAUUAGCUAGUUGGUGAGGUAAUGGCUCACCAAGGCGAUGAUACGUAGCCGAACUGAGAGGUUGAUCGGCCACAUUGGGACUGAGACACGGCCCAAACUCCUACGGGAGGCAGCAGUAGGGAAUCUUCCACAAUGGACGCAAGUCUGAUGGAGCAACGCCGCGUGAGUGAAGAAGGCUUUCGGGUCGUAAAACUCUGUUGUUGGAGAAGAAUGGUCGGCAGAGUAACUGUUGCCGGCGUGACGGUAUCCAACCAGAAAGCCACGGCUAACUACGUGCCAGCAGCCGCGGUAAUACGUAGGUGGCAAGCGUUAUCCGGAUUUAUUGGGCGUAAAGCGAGCGCAGGCGGUUUUUUAAGUCUGAUGUGAAAGCCCUCGGCUUAACCGAGGAAGCGCAUCGGAAACUGGGAAACUUGAGUGCAGAAGAGGACAGUGGAACUCCAUGUGUAGCGGUGAAAUGCGUAGAUAUAUGGAAGAACACCAGUGGCGAAGGCGGCUGUCUGGUCUGUAACUGACGCUGAGGCUCGAAAGCAUGGGUAGCGAACAGGAUUAGAUACCCUGGUAGUCCAUGCCGUAAACGAUGAAUGCUAGGUGUUGGAGGGUUUCCGCCCUUCAGUGCCGCAGCUAACGCAUUAAGCAUUCCGCCUGGGGAGUACGACCGCAAGGUGAGCUCAGA
rnacentral:rRNA from 1 species